rnacentral:lncRNA from 12 species
AUGGUAUUAGCUUCAGAUAUGGGUGUUGCUGCUACUCUUGUGAUGGCUAGAGCAGUAGAGUUCUCUUCUGAAGGUGCAGUGGAUCCUGCAAGAGUUGUGGCAGCAUCAGUACUUCCUUCAGGGAGAGUAGUAUCUGCUGUGGCCUCAUCAAUGGGGGCAGUUGUUUCAGGUUCCAGCAUUGUCGAAUCCAGUGUAGUGCUUAAAUCUUCUGGUGCAGUGGCGGAGGUGGAGCUUGAUGGAGUUGUAGUGGCCGCUGUCCCUAAAGGUUCAGUAGUGUUCUCCUCCGUAGGAGUUGCAGCUUCAGUGGUUGAAGAAGCAGGUUCAGCAGGGGUGGUGGUGGCUGCUACACUCAUACUGGCAGUAGUGGUGGCAUCUGGGGCUAAAGGUGUAGUUGCAGUCCCUGUGGAGGCUGCAGCUGUUGCAGUGCUAGCUGCUGUAGGAAUUGUGGUUGCAGAUAACGCAGCUGUUGCAGUAGUAGCAACAGAUGUAGUGCCUGCUUUUAAGGUUGUGGAGUCAGUUGAACGGGUUGUGGUACCUUCUGCUGGAGUGGUGAUAGCUGCCGUGGUUGUACCAUCUGCUGAUUUAGUGGUGGUCUCAUCCCCUGGAGCACCAGGGGUCUGGGUGGUGGUUUCACUGUUGGUCUGUGCACCAGAUUCAGUAGUAGAGGCAGAACGUGGUACAGUUGUGGUGGCACCAGAAGGAGAUGUGGUACCAGUGAUGGAAGGAGAGGUGGUGCCGCUUGUGGUGGCAUCAACCCCUGAAGUUAUGGAGGCUGCUGUGGUCGUGUUGGUAGCUCCUCCAGAUAUUUUGGUUGUAGCUGAACCAGUUUUACCCACAGCUGGAGAUGUGAAAUCCGCUGAGGAUGCAGGGUUAGCUGUGAGAGUUGUGGCCUCAGCAGGUGCAGUUGUGGCAGCUUCAGUGGUUGUGUCAUCUAUUGGUUCAGUGGUGGCCUCUUCCCCUGGAGCUGUAACAUCAGGACUCUGGGUAGUGGUUUCACCUGCAUUGGUUAACACAACUGGUUCAACAGUGGAGGCUGCCGUCACAGGAGUUGGAGUGGUAGCACCUACUACAGUUGUGCUGGUAGCAGCAGUUGUAUCACUGGUGGCCGAGGAUGUGAGUGUACCACUGGUGGUCGUAUCCAGCCCUAGGGUUGAAGAAGCUGCUGCUGUGGUGGUGGUGGUUGUCCCCACAGGUGUUGAGUUUGAAGAUCCAGCAGUUGUGGUAGCAGGGAGAGAGAUGUCUCUUUCCAAGGUUGUCGAGUCCGUUGCCCCAGUCGUUAAGCCAUUAGGUGAAAUUGUGGUGGCAGCUGCGUUGGCUGUUGUGUCAUCGGCUGUUUCAGUGACUUCCUCGCUCACUGGGGAAGUAGCUUCAGUGGUUGUGUCAACUGCUGUUUCAGUGGUAGCCUCGGCCACUGGUGGGAUGGCAGGACUCGAUGCAGGACUCAAUGCAGCUCCGGUGGCAGGACCAGGUACACUGGUGGUUGUAGGACUUAGUGCACUUGUGGUAGUGGCACCAGGUAUAGCUGUUGUUGUGACAGAACUAGAAGCAGUGGUAGAAGUUCUGGGUAUUCCCGUAGUAGCAGAAGCGAGAGCUGUGGUAGCACCAGCUGAUAAUGAGGUAGCACCGGAGUUAGUGGCACCAAUCCCUGGGGUUGUGGGAGGUAUUACAGUUGUGGCUGCAACGUAUGUAGGGGUUGUGGUUACAGCAAUGGUGGCAACAGUAGCAGGAGGUGUGUUUGCUGAAGUUGUAGAGGCAGCUUGA